GUGGGGAAUAUUGGACAAUGGGCGAAAGCCUGAUCCAGCCAUGCCGCGUGUGUGAAGAAGGUCUUCGGAUUGUAAAGCACUUUAAGUUGGGAGGAAGGGCAUUAACCUAAUACGUUAGUGUUUUGACGUUACCGACAGAAUAAGCACCGGCUAACUUCGUGCCAGCAGCCGCGGUAAUACGAAGGGUGCAAGCGUUAAUCGGAAUUACUGGGCGUAAAGCGCGCGUAGGUGGUUCGUUAAGUUGGAUGUGAAAGCCCCGGGCUCAACCUGGGUACUGCAUCCAAAACUGGCGAGCUAGAGUACGGUAGAGGGUGGUGGAAUUUCCUGUGUAGCGGUGAAAUGCGUAGAUAUAGGAAGGAACACCAGUGGCGAAGGCGACCACCUGGACUGAUACUGACACUGAGGUGCGAAAGCGUGGGGAGCAAACAGGAUUAGAUACCCUAGUAGUCC
rnacentral:rRNA from 1 species